UACGAAGGGGGCUAGCGUCGUUCGGAAUUACUGGGCGUAAAGCGCACGUAGGCGGACAUUUAAGUCAGGGGUGAAAUCCCAGAGCUCAACUCUGGAACUGCCUUUGAUACUGGGUGUCUUGAGUAUGGAAGAGGUGAGUGGAAUUCCGAGUGUAGAGGUGAAAUUCGUAGAUAUUCGGAGGAACACCAGUGGCGAAGGCGGCUCACUGGUCCAUUACUGACGCUGAGGUGCGAAAGCGUGGGGAGCAAACAGG
rnacentral:rRNA from 1 species